rnacentral:tRNA from 1 species
ACCGUGGUGGUACAAUGGUUAAGCACUCAGCUGUUAACUGAAAGGUUGGCAGUUUGAACCUGCCCAGCGGCU